CCUACGGGGCGCAGCAGUGGGGAAUUUUGGACAAUGGGCGCAAGCCUGAUCCAGCUAUUCCGCGUGUGGGAAGACGGCUUUCGGGUUGUAAACCACUUUUGUAGAGAACGAAAAGUCUAUUGAUAAUACCGAUAGACGAUGACGGUACUCUAAGAAUAAGCACCGACUAACUACGUGUCAGCAGCCGCGGUUAUAAGUAGGGUGUGAGGAUUAAUCGGAAUUACGGGGUGUAAAAGGUGUGCAGGCUGUUUUGAAAGAUGGAGGUGAAAGCCCCGGGCUUAAACUGGGAAAGCAAUACAUGACUGCAAGACUAGAGUGCGUCAGGGGGGGGUGGAAUUCCAAGUGUAGCAGUGAAAUGCGUAGAUAUUUGGAAGAACACCGAUGGCGAAGGCAGCCCACUGGGACGCAACUGACGCUCAUACACGAAAGCGUGGGGAGCAAACAGGAUUAGAUACCCUAGUAGU
rnacentral:rRNA from 1 species